GUCUUGGUGGCUCAGUUGGUCAGAGCGUUGGUCUCAUAGCAAUAUGAAGCACUCUCAGGGUGAGCCAUCCAAAGGUCGUGAGUUCGAGCCUCACCCAGGACA
rnacentral:tRNA from 1 species